rnacentral:rRNA from 1 species
AUUGAACGCUGGCGGCAGGCUUAACACAUGCAAGUCGAGCGGUAACAUUUCUAGCUUGCUAGAAGAUGACGAGCGGCGGACGGGUGAGUAACGCGUAGGAAUCUGCCUAGUAGUGGGGGACAACAUGUGGAAACGCAUGCUAAUACCGCAUACGCCCUACGGGGGAAAGGAGGGGAUCUUCGGACCUUUCGCUAUUAGAUGAGCCUGCGUGAGAUUAGCUAGUUGGUGGGGUAAAGGCCUACCAAGGCGACGAUCUCUAGCUGGUCUGAGAGGAUGAUCAGCCACACUGGGACUGAGACACGGCCCAGACUCCUACGGGAGGCAGCAGUGGGGAAUAUUGGACAAUGGGCGCAAGCCUGAUCCAGCCAUGCCGCGUGUGUGAAGAAGGCCUUAGGGUUGUAAAGCACUUUCAGGAGUGAGGAAGGGCGUAUAGUUAAUACCUGUAUGUUUUGACGUUAACUCCAGAAGAAGCACCGGCUAACUCUG